rnacentral:lncRNA from 1 species
CUUCAGAUUAUCUUGUUCCUUUGUAAAAUAUCCAAGGAAAUUAAGCACCAUAAUUGUUGAUUUAUAGGGUUAUAUUUCAGGCAGUUAGUAACAAUUUCAGAGAAGAUGCAUACAUGGUAUAUAUUCCUCACCUUUAGUCUUUAUAGAUUAAAACUUUGUGCAUUAAAAAAAUGAUACAAAACAAAGAGGUCAAUGAUCUAAAAGUGGCCCAUAAUGUGCUAAAGAACAAUCCCAGGAGGGAAACACUAUGCAAUGAGAUAGGAGAAGGCAUAGAGAAAAAAUGUCAGGGCUGGAGAGAUGGCUCAGCAUUCAAGAGCACUGAGUGCUCUUCCAGAGGUCCUGAGUUCAAAUCCCAGCACCCACAUGGUGGCUCACAAUCAUCUGUAAUGAGAUCUGAUGCCCUCUUCUGGCGUUUCUGAAGACAGGUGCAGUGUACUGAUAUAUAAUAAAUAAAUAAA